UCGAUCGCUACUGUACAGUCAAUGGUGGCAUGGCGGCGACGCGCAUUGGAACUUGGAAGUGGAUGCAUGUGCGACUUGAUGUGUCGUUGCAUCUGGGAGGCCCCGUUGGUAAUGACUGGUCAUUUGAUGAUACGUGUGCACAGUGGUAGUGCUUGGGUACCUCAAGAGGGAAUUGCAGAACAUAGCCAUAGAGCUAAAAGUCAUAGAAUAUUUUUUAAAUUGUUAUUUGAUUUUGUGUUGUUUCAGCAGUAGUAUGUCCUUCAACAAUCUGUUAUGUCCAACCAUGGAAUGAGUUGCAUGUGACUAAGUCAACCAAACGGGGCAACAACAAUUAGUCAGCAAUGGAAUUAGUCAGUGGAAAACAACACAUUUAUUCCUGAGGAUGGUUUUGAGUUUAUCUAUGCAUAUUAUAUGUUUAAUUUUUAUUGUUAUUAUUUUUAAAUUAAUAUCUUAGGUUUUUCUUUAGCAUGAUUGAAACUUGGUUGCACCUAUUGCCCCCUCAACUUUUGAGGGGCAAAACACUGAAAACGGGUAUGUUGAUUUCCUUUCUAUUGAGUGUGAAACAUUGAUCUUAAUGGCUGGUGUAAAAUUACUGGACGACAAAUGUUGCAUAACUUUUUGUUCGAUAUCUGUGGAUUGCAAAGAGUUUUCACAUUGGAGAAAUACGAGCAGCAGUGUAUCCGUACGUCCGACGUACGGUCGAACGUAAUAAGAUCAGGCUCAAACUGGUAAGCAGUGGAUUCGAUUCCGCAGUUUGUGCUGGCCUUCUCCAUAAAGCACUUCUACAAAGUGACGAUUCGUCGCGAGUGCAUGACAUCCAUAUCGAUAACGGUUUCCUGCGUAAAGACGAAUCCGAGCAAGUCGCCACUAGUUUAUAGCAACUCGUGCUCAAUCUUCGGGUAAUUUGAGAUACUUUUCUGGACCGUUCAGAAUCUUAUAAUUGGCCAAAAUUUGAUACGAGAUUUAUUGAUACGUCGUCCUGUCACAUCUCAAAUUCUAUGGUUUAUAAUUUAUGUUCUGUGACCAGUUCUUUUCCAGACAAUGGCUUUUCAUUUCUAUUGUCAUAUCAGCGAUCAGAUUUGAUGUUUCGAAUUGUUUUGGGUUGUUGAAGCAAGAUUGACUUUCUACGAUGCUUCCACCAAUGUGCAUGGUCGCCAAACUUUGUCGUGGCAGACUGUUAAUCCGGAAGAAAAACGUCGAAUUAUUGGCGAUACGUUUGUCAAAGUUGCAAAAAGAACGGCUAAAGAUUAAAAUCUCACUUGAGAUAAUCUAUUUCUCGGACAAGUUAUCAACCUUAUGUUUUUUGGAAUUUUUUUUCGUGUAUUUCAUUGCCUAAUAUUCAAUGUCAUCAUAAAUAAAAAUACUACAGGUACUUUGAGACCGGAUUUAAUUGAGUCCGCUUCGCAUAGGGCUUCUUCGCGCGCUGAUGCUAUAAAGAUUCAUCAAAUUAUUCUGAAAUGCUUCGUCAGUUGAGCCUUCACGCGCCUUCUUUCGUGUAUAGUAGAACCUUUUAAAGAUAUCUUCCUUUGCUUUGCCCAACGAAUCUGUGCUUGGAACUGGCAGGUGGCGUUAAGCAGUGGCACCCAAUCUUUAUUGUUAAAACCAAGAGGUGUUCUUCACUUUUUAGGGGGACUGAUUGAUGAUACUUGUUGAUUAAUUCAUGAAGGAUACCAAUACAUGGAUAAGUGGAGGGUAAUAAAAGUAUAAAACUGUAA